CAAAAGAAAAAAAGACCUCGUCCGUGUCUGUUUGGAAAAAAGCACUCACGCACAGCAAGGCGCAAAAUAGGCGAUGGGUCGCAAAAAAUCAAAAAAAAGGCAGAGCCAUGCCCGCGAGGCCGCGAAUGCAAGGCGCGGUAGAUGCGCGGGCCAGACCACGUCGCGCAGUAUCGGCACGGUCGGUCCGUUGGCAGAUAGCCACUGCGGCGGGUGCAGGAUCAGGUCGCAAGUAACAGAGGCUAGGCACGCGCUGCACGACGGGGCACAGACCCCACCACGAGACACUAAUCCCUGUUGCGCAGUCGCCCACACUACAGUCAUCUAGGAAAUCGCUUGUUUUGCUGCCGCUGGAUGGAUAUGCAAGCAAAAUCGAGAAAAAAAGUAAGAAAAGAAUAUAUUUUU
rnacentral:lncRNA from 1 species